CCUACGGGAGGCAGCAGUGAGGAAUAUUGGUCAAUGGCCGGAAGGCUGAACCAGCCAUGCAGCGUGAAGGUCAGUGCCCUAUGGGCGUUAAACUUCUUUUGUGCGGGAGCAAUAAUGGUCACGUGUGGCCAGACGAGAGUACCGUAAGAAUAAGCAUCGGCUAACUCCGUGCCAGCAGCCGCGGUAAUACGGAGGGGGCAGGCGUUAUCCGGAUUUACUGGGUGUAAAGGGGGCGCAGACGGCGAUGCAAGCCAGGAGUGAAAGCCCGGGGGCCAACCCCGGGGCUGCACCGGGAACUGGGUGGCUUGAGUGCAGGGAGGGCAGGCGGAAUUCGUGGUGUAGCGGUGAAAUGCGUAGAUAUCAGGAGGAACACCGGUGGCGAAGGCGGCCUGCUGGACUGCAACUGACGUUGAGGCCCGAAAGCGUGGGGAUCAAACAGGAUUAGAUACCCUUGUAGUC
rnacentral:rRNA from 1 species